rnacentral:lncRNA from 1 species
CUUGGGAGAAAGAGUUCUAUAUUUCCUUGGCUUGAUCAAAUCUAUGCAAGUACAUGUAUAUAUAAACACAGGGUCAAGUGACCCAAACCCAAAACUCUCUUGACCAACUCUAUGGGAGAUUAGGUUAACCCAAGCCCAUGUACACCCAUGACUCGAUCUAAUCUCACCAAUCCUGGGCCCAGACCUGGCCCAUAAAGAGUUGGUCCCUUGAGGCCCACAUAACCUAGACCUCAAGAACCCGAAAGGCCCACAGCCUUUUAACCUAGGGCCCAACUAGCUCUAGAGCCUCCAUGAAGCCCUCAUGAAUGAUGG